GAUUUUGAUUAUACAACGAGUGUUUUAUUAAUUAGUAGAGAUAUAUAUGGUCAAUAUAUUGUCCACGAUGGUUCUAUCACCAUAUAAUAUAUAUCCCGCCUUAUUAGCAGAGAUCUCGUUUCAUUGUAGCACAUGAGCCGAUAGGCUCCCGUAGAGUUUAUGUAUUUACCAUAUAGGACCCUCGCAUUCUAGAGAAAAUGGAGAGAAAUGGUUAAAUGUAUAAGAGGUUCUAUAUGGUGAAUUCAUAAUCCCUACGAUAGUUUUAUAGCUAUCUGUUUUUGCUACAGUGAGUAUUUGCUAAGAAGGGGCUCCUCUAUAUGUAGACAUUAAUUCCAUGAUUAAUUAAUAUUUCUAAUUUAUUCUUUAUAAUAUAUUAUUGCAGUAUGGUACUACCCAAGGCAGCCUUCGUCCUCAAGAGUGUGCACCGCGAUGUACAAGUCGGUGCUCGGCUACAGCAUACAAGAAGCCUUGUUUGUUUUUCUGCCAAAAGUGUUGCGCCAAGUGCUUGUGUGUGCCUCCUGGAACAUAUGGAAACAAACAAGUUUGCCCUUGCUACAAUAACUGGAAGACCAAGAGAGGAGGACCAAAAUGUCCCUAAGGACUUUACUCCAACUUAUGCAUUCUACAUAUAUAAUAGUUAGUCAAGCUCUCUUAUAAUAUAAUUUGCAACUUAAACCUAAUAACAUGAUGUAUGCUCCAAAAUAUCCACCUUAAAAAGGUAGAGGCUUGAGGGUUCGACUAAUGUAUUAGUUAUGUGAUUUGAUAAAUAUAUAAUUGUAUUUUUUUAGAACGCUCUAA